rnacentral:rRNA from 1 species
UACGAAGGGGGCUAGCGUUGUUCGGAAUUACUGGGCGUAAAAUGUGCGCAGGCGGCUUCUCAAGUCAGGGGUGAAAGCCCAGAGCUUAACUCUGGAAUUGCCUUUGAGACUGAGAGGCUUGAGUUCGGGAGAGGUGAGUGGAACUGCGAGUGUAGAGGUGAAAUUCGUAGAUAUUCGCAAGAACACCAGUGGCGAAGGCGGCUCACUGGCCCGAUACUGACGCUGAGGCACGAAAGCGUGGGGAGCAAACAGG